rnacentral:rRNA from 1 species
AUUGAACGCUGGCGGCAUGCCUUACACAUGCAAGUCGAACGGCAGCGGACCUUCGGGUGCCGGCGAGUGGCGAACGGGUGAGUAAAGUAUCGGAACGUACCUUUCAGUGGGGGAUAACGUAGCGAAAGUUACGCUAAUACCGCAUAUUCUGUGAGCAGGAAAGCAGGGGAUCGCAAGACCUUGCGCUGAUUGAGCGGCCGAUAUCAGAUUAGCUAGUUGGUGAGGUAAAGGCUCACCAAGGCGACGAUCUGUAGCGGGUCUGAGAGGAUGAUCCGCCACACUGGAACUGAGACACGGUCCAGACUCCUACGGGAGGCAGCAGUGGGGAAUUUUGGACAAUGGGGGCAACCCUGAUCCAGCCAUGCCGCGCGAGUGAAGAAGGCCUUCGGGUUGUAAAGCUCUUUCGGCCGGGAAGAAAUCGCGCAGGUUAAUACCCUGUGUGGAUGACGGUACCGGAAUAAGAAGCACCGGCUAACUACGUGCCAGCCGCCGCCGUAA